rnacentral:rRNA from 1 species
AUGUUCUGGUUCGAUCGAUGGGCUGGGGACCUUCCCCUUGCAGCACGCUUUCCCGACCUAUUUUCCAUCGCGGCUGACCCGCGAAUCUCUGUCGCGACGGCCCUUAUUGACUUAGGGCAACUCGUGUUUCGGAGAGCGUUUGGACCGGCGGAGAUCGCGGACUGGCAUGAGCUGUUAGAAUGCAUCGCGCUGCACGCGCCUGACCUGGAGGAUGGAGAAGACCGUGCCAGGUGGCGACUAGAGCCAUCGGGGCAAUUCUCCGCUAAAUCUCUCUACCAGGCCAUCGCUCCUUCUAUGGGACAUGAGGCUCUCUCCGCCAUCUGGGAGAUUCGGCUCCCGUUGAAGAUUCGGUUUUUCAUGUGGCGAUGGAUUCGUGGCCGCCUCCCCUCCGGCGUGGAGGUCCCGAAGCGCAAUGGGCCAGGAGAUGGGCGAUGUCCGCUCUGCGGGCCUAAAGAGGAUUCGAACCAUAUCUUCUUCACCUGCGUGUCCGCGCAGUUCCUAUGGAGCUGCUUCCGCGAAACAGAGGGUGGAAGCUGGGAUCACAACAACUUGCCCGCUCUUUUCGCGGAACUCCAGGCGGUAGCUUCCCCAGUUCGCCAUAUCAGGUGGCUGGUCAUCGGGGUGCUAACCUGGACACUAUGGACUAUUAGAAAUAAGCUUGUAAUUCAGCGCAUUCCUCUUCGACGUGCUACUGACGCUUUGUUUAAAUGGUUUGUUUACUUGCAGCUUUGGCGGCCGCUUAGCCGUUCCAGAGAGAGAGACGCCAUCACCUUCAUCAUCACCCAGCUUCGCUCGAUGGCUCUCCGGAUGGCUCCACCGCUUCCCCCACCACCGCUGGAGCCGGAUUAG